rnacentral:rRNA from 1 species
UACAGAGGUCUCAAGCGUUGUUCGGAUUCAUUGGGCGUAAAGGGUGCGUAGGUGGCGCCGUAAGUCAGGUGUGAAAUUUCGGAGCUUAACUCCGAAACUGCAUUUGAUACUGCGGUGCUUGAGGACUGGAGAGGAGACUGGAAUUUACGGUGUAGCAGUGAAAUGCGUAGAGAUCGUAAGGAAGACCAGUGGCGAAGGCGGGUCUCUGGACAGUUCCUGACACUGAGGCACGAAGGCCCAGGGGAGCAAACGGG